UACGUAGGGUGCAAGCGUUGUCCGGAAUUAUUGGGCGUAAAGAGCUUGUAGGCGGUUUGUCGCGUCUGCUGUGGAAUUUCGGGGCUCAACCCCGAACUUGCAGUGGGUACGGGCAGACUAGAGUGUGGUAGGGGAGACUGGAAUUCCUGGUGUAGCGGUGAAAUGCGUAGAUAUCCGGAGGAACACCGGUGGCGAAGGCGGCUUCCUGGACCGACACUGACGCUGAGGCGCGAAAGUGUGGGGAGCGAACAGG
rnacentral:rRNA from 1 species